GACGAACGCUGGCGGCGUGCCUAACACAUGCAAGUCGAGCGGGGUUGGCAGCAGUUAGCUUGCUAACAGCAGUCAACCCAGCGGCGGACGGGUGAGUAACGCGUGAGCAACCAACCUUGUACAGGGGGAUAACAGGUGGAAACACCUGCUAAUACCGCAUAAGACCCCGGCACUGCAUGGUGCUGAGGUAAAAGGAGGAAACUCCGGUACGAGACGGGCUCGCGUCCCAUUAGCUGGUUGGUGGGGUGACGGCCUACCAAGGCGACGAUGGGUAGCCGGCCUGAGAGGGUGUACGGCCACACUGGGACUGAGACACGGCCCAGACUCCUACGGGAGGCAGCAGUGGGGGAUAUUGCGCAAUGGGGGGAACCCUGACGCAGCGACGCCGCGUGAGCGAAGAAGGCCUUCGGGUCGUAAAGCUCUGUCUUUGGGGAAGAAUAAGAUGACGGUACCCAAGGAGGAAGCCCCGGCUAACUACGUG
rnacentral:rRNA from 1 species